GAUGAACGCUGGCGGCGUGCCUAAUACAUGCAAGUCGAGCGAACAGACGAGGAGCUUGCUCCUCUGACGUUAGCGGCGGACGGGUGAGUAACACGUGGAUAACCUACCUAUAAGACUGGGAUAACUUCGGGAAACCGGAGCUAAUACCGGAUAAUAUAUUGAACCGCAUGGUUCAAUAGUGAAAGACGGUUUUGCUGUCACUUAUAGAUGGAUCCGCGCCGCAUUAGCUAGUUGGUAAGGUAACGGCUUACCAAGGCGACGAUGCGUAGCCGACCUGAGAGGGUGAUCGGCCACACUGGAACUGAGACACGGUCCAGACUCCUACGGGAGGCAGCAGUAGGGAAUCUUCCGCAAUGGGCGAAAGCCUGACGGAGCAACGCCGCGUGAGUGAUGAAGGUCUUCGGAUCGUAAAACUCUGUUAUUAGGGAAGGACAAAUGUGUAAGUAACUAUGCACGUCUUGACGGUACCUAAUCAGAAAGCCACGGCUAACUACGU
rnacentral:rRNA from 1 species